rnacentral:rRNA from 1 species
UGGGGAAUUUUGGACAAUGGGCGCAAGCCUGAUCCAGCCAUGCCGCGUGCGGGAAGAAGGCCUUCGGGUUGUAAACCGCUUUUGUCAGGGAAGAAAUCUUCUGAGUUAAUACCUCGGGAGGAUGACGGUACCUGAAGAAUAAGCACCGGCUAACUACGUGCCAGCAGCCGCGGUAAUACGUAGGGUGCAAGCGUUAAUCGGAAUUACUGGGCGUAAAGCGUGCGCAGGCGGUUUUGUAAGACAGAGGUGAAAUCCCCGGGCUCAACCUGGGAACUGCCUUUGUGACUGCAAGGCUUGAGUGCGGCAGAGGGGGAUGGAAUUCCGCGUNUAGCGUGAGAUGCGUAGAUAUGCGGAGGAACACCGAUGGCGAGGCAAUCCCCUGGGCCUGCACUGACGCUCAUGCACGAAAGCGUGGGGAGCAAACAGGAUUAGAUACCCCUGGUAGUCCACGCCCUAAACGAUGUCAACUGGUUGUUGGGAAGG